AUGCGGGAAAACCGUUCCCCAGCUGGGAGAACAGGCGGCGCAAUUGACCCCCCGCUUGUUGUGCCAACAACACAUGAGAGUACACGCGCCCAAUAUUAUUGUGGGCAAACCGUUUACGUUCCCGAGCUGGGCGAUGUGGUAAUAACCGAGGAGCAUAUAAUGCAGGCUGAAAUGCUCAAGAUCACUGUUGGACAACUCCUCGAUAUCGAGCCCAUGUCUCCGCUUAGAGAGGAGGAAAUAAAACAGAAAUAUGUCCAGGGCCAACCUUUGGUCGAGACCGAGGAGGUCAAGAACCUCCCAACGAGAAUGUAUGAAUUGCAUGAUUGGUACAUGAAAAUUACCAAGAUUUCCAACCGAGAAUCCCUCAUGGUGCAAGUCGAGGAAGAUCAUUACUUCAAUAAGAAAGCUCUGUCCGUUGAGUAUUCAGAACUAUUUCGGUUAUUCAAUCAAGAUGCACUCGACAAAUCUAUCGUCAGUUGCUAUUGUAUGAUGAAGAUGUAUGAAACGAAAAAAGCUGGACGCUAUGGCAUUGGGUUCAUUGACCCAAAUACCGUUAAUGAAUACACAUGGAAAUUGGAAUGGUGUAGACAAGAUGUAGAGAAAUGCAUGCUAGAGUUCUUGAAGCGCCUCAAUAGCAAUGAAGAUAUACUACUUCCUUACAACUUCGAGUGA
rnacentral:rRNA from 1 species